UAAAUAGCCAGGCCGGCUUUUGCUGGUCGCCGGCUUCUUAGAGGGACUAUCAGCAUCUAGCUGAUGGAAGUUUGAGGCAAUAACAGGUCUGUGAUGCCCUUAGAUGUUCUGGGCCGCACGCGCGCUACACUGACUGAGCCAGCGAGUUUAUCACCUUGGCCGGAAGGUCUG
rnacentral:rRNA from 1 species